GGAGCAGGCGGCACUAAGGGUCUGUGGUGAAGGAUCGAAGCUUAACUUCGGUAAGCCAUGGAAACCGUAGAGCUAGAGUGUGUGAGAGGAUCGUGGAAUUCCAUGUGUAGCGGUGAAAUGCGUAGAUAUAUGGAGGAACACCAGUGGCGAAGGCGACGAUCUGGCGCACAACUGACGCUCAGUCCCGAAAGCGUGGGAGCAAACA
rnacentral:rRNA from 1 species